UACGGAGGGUGCAAGCGUUAUCCGGAUUUACUGGGCUUAAAGGGUGCGUAGGUGGGUUGGGAAGUCAGUGGUGAAAUUCUUUCGCUUAACGAAGGAACUGCCAUUGAUACUAUCAAUCUUGAAUGUAGUGGAGGUAGGCGGAAUUCGUCAUGUAGCGGUGAAAUGCUUAGAUAUGACGCAGAACACCAAUUGCGAAGGCAGCUUGCUACACUACUAUUGACACUGAGGCACGAAAGCGUGGGGAUCAAACAGG
rnacentral:rRNA from 1 species